rnacentral:lncRNA from 1 species
GACGAUUGCUGCAGUCUGGAGUCUUCACUGGUACAGCAAGAUGAUGGAUUGUUUUUCAGUACUUGUUUCCUCCUAUGUAAUGAUUAUUUUUUUCUUUGUAGCUUCACAUUACUGGUUUGCUGCGUUGCUGUUCCCCAGACCAAGCAGAAGCAUCUGUAACGUCUGAAGGAAGAACCCAGGCCCGCAGCUCACCCACUACAGAACCUAGGGACCUUAUCCUUCUUCCAGAACACCUCAAGAUGGCAUUACAGAUCCCAUUUUCAGAGAUGAUAGAAUCCACUCUAACUUGAGGCCUUGGCAGCUGCUCUGUUUUGAAACAGUAAUUUUAAAAGACACAAAUAGCAAUUAAGGACCUUUCCAGGUCAUGCUAGGAGAAGACUCAGAUCAUCAAGGAGUAAGAACUCAGCAAGAAAUCCAGACCCCUUUAAUGCAAAGAUCUCUGACUCUUUCAUUUCCAACUCCUGAGCACCGGCAUAAAGGAAGGGGUAAGUUGUAUGUUUUUCAGCCAGCCACAACCACAGCCAGGGGCUGCCAGACUGAAGAAGGACAAAAAAGAAUAAGGAGAGAGAAGAAAAAAGAAUCUACCUAGGAAAGGUUCUGGACGGACAAAAAGAGUGAAACUGGGAGACCGCCUUUACCAAGGGUCAUACAGCCCCCCAGGCUUAGUGGGUAGCCCACUCACCCUUACCAGUAGGGACCUGGUCCUCUAUGCCCUUACUCA